AUUUAAGUAGUUUAUUAAAAAUAUUGAUUUGUGGUGUCAAAGAAAUUAUUUAAUCUUAAAUU
rnacentral:tRNA from 1 species